rnacentral:rRNA from 1 species
UGUAAAGUUCAAGCUCCGAUUAUGAGGGCGAAACCGCGAAUGGCUCAUUAAAUCAGUCACAAUCUACUUGAUUGUUUGAGGUUUAUAUGGAUAACUGUGGUAAUUCUAGAGCUAAUACAUGCACAAAGGGGGCGACUAGCGAUAGAAGCCCCGCGUUUAUUAGACUAAGACCAGCGGCUGCCAGCAAUGGCAGUCCCAAGUAAGGUGACUCUGAGUAAAUAAUGGGUGAAAGCCCAUGCUGCCGACCUGGCACACCAAAGGGGCCCUAAGAAGCUCCGCCAGGCGAAUCAAUCGAGUGUCUGCUCUAUCAACUGUGGAUGGUAGGGUAAUUGCCUACCAUGGUGAUGACGGGUAACGGGGAGUUAGGGCUCGACUCCGGAGAACAAGCCUGAGAAACGGCUAGUAGGACUAAGGUCUGCAGCAGGCGCGAAACUUACACAAUGCUAGAUUAUCAUGAUAGCGAUGUAGUGAAGAAAAAUAACGAUGUACUUCUAUUUAAACAUAGUAGUACAAUUGGAAUGAGACGACUUUAAAACAGUUAGUCGAGUAACAAAUGGAGGGCAAGUCUGGUGCCAGCAGCCGCGGUAAUUCCAGCUCCAUUAGCAUACAUUAAAGUUGUUGCGGUUAAAAAGCUCGUAGUUGAAUUUUAGGCGGGCUCUAUUGGGAUGCAGCCGUUAAGGUUCGCCGCGGCCCUCUGAGUUGUUAACUCGACCCACGACCCGGCGCAACUGGUUGUACUUUCCCUAUAGGAACCCGUUGUUUCGUCACUUAAUUGAGUGCGAAGCGGGCCGGGGUCAGCGGCCGCCCUCGGGCGGCCAGAUUGCGGCAAGUUUACCUUGAGAAAAUUAGAGUGCUCACAGCAGGCAGUUGGGGUGUAAAAGCCCCUUUAUGCUUGAAUAAUGUUGCAUGGAAUAAUAGAAUACGGCCUCGGUUCUAUUCUGUUGGUCUUAUAGAACAACAAACAAGUUGGUUGAGGCGACCAAAAGUCCGCUCGCGAGUGUGGGUUCAUCGGCUUUUCGCGUCGGCUGUGUUGCCUGCGAACUAAACGUCGCAGCGCCGCGCCGACUCCCAAUGCCGAUCCUCCCAUCAAAGCACUCCCCGCGGGCUAGCCUUCCAGCCAACUGAGGCAAUGGUUAAAAGAAAUAGUCGCGGCGGCAUCAGUACUGCAUCGUGAGAGGUGAAAUUCUUAGACCGAUGCAAGACUAACUGAAGCGAAAGCGUUUGCCGAGGAUAUUUUCAUUAAUCAAGAACGAAAGUUAGAGGUUCGAAGGCGAUCAGAUACCGCCCUAGUUCUAACCAUAAACGUUGCCAACUAGCAAUUGGGUUGCGAUUCCUUUAAUCGAAGCCUAAAAAACUUCGAUCAUUAUGAUCCACCCAGCGGCUCUCGUAGGGAAACCAAAGUGUUUGGGUUCCGGGGGAAGUAUGAUUGCAAAGUUGAAACUUAAAGGAAUUGACGGAAGGGCACCACCAGGAGUGGAGCCUGCGGCUUAAUUUGACUCAACACGGGGAAACUUACUAGAUUAAAACUCUGGAAUGAUUGACAGAUUGAUAGCUCUUUCUUGAUUCAGAGGAUGGUGGUGCAUGGCCGUUCUUGAUUCGUAUUCCGAAACGUCUGCUUAAUUGCGAUAACGAGUGAGACCUCACCCAACUAACUAGUCGUUCGGUGCGCUAGGAACGCAAAAGUCCCGCUCGGGAUUGGCGAGGGAAAAGUGCGGCAACGUAACUAGCUUGAGCUGCCCGUUUGGGAUGUUCUCUGCUCGCCAGCGGACUUCUUAGAGGGAUAAACGGUGUUUUAGCCGUAAGAAACGAGGCAAUAACAGGUCUGUGAUGCCCUUAGAUAUUCUAGGCCGCACGCGUGCUACAAUGGCGUGUGCAAAAAGCUUGUUCGAGGUCUGUCCAGGGAGAACUGGCCAUUUGGUUCGGGUUUGGGGGCAACCUUAGGCUUGGAUCGGUGGAGAAGUGACUCUGGUUAGCAGGCCGAGAGAAACCGUGGCCGAAAGGUCACGGCAAUCAGAAAUACACGCCGUGAUUUGGGAUUGGGGAUUGCAAUUGUUGCCCAUGAACGAGGAAUUCCCAGUAAGCGCAAUUCAUCAUAUUGCGUUGAUUACGUCCCUGCCCUUUGUACACACCGCCCGUCGCUACUACCGAUUGGAAGUUUUAGUGAGGCAUUUGGACCUGCUGACCAGUUGGGGGGCAACUCCCAUAGGCUGGCGGGGAAGUCUGUCGAACUCAAAUUUCUAGAGGAAGUAAAAGUCGUAACAAGGUUUCCGU